GGGCACGGAAGUUGUGCAUUCAAGACCAUCCCAGACCUCGCCCUGUGUGUGUCUUCAUUUGGCUGCGUCCUGAUCUGUAUCCUUUACAACAAACCUAUAAUCAUAAAAUAUAGCACUUCCUUGAGCUGUGUGAGUCAUUCUAGCAAACUAUUGAUUCUGAGAGGGGUCAUGGAAACCCUCCAGAUUUGUGGCCUUUGGGUCAGAAUCGCGGGUGGCCUGGGGACCCCUGAACUUGUGCCUGGUGUCUGCAGUGGGAGCAGUCUUAAUGGGGACCACGCCCUUAAACCUGUGGGAUAUGCGCCAACUCCAGGUGGAAUUCAUGAAGCUUAGAACAGCGCUUGUGUCAAAGGAGCGACAUUGUGGAAAACACAUGGAGAUCGGAAUUACCGUUUUUGGAGACUGUAUAGAUCUGGCGGACCAGAUUUUCACAUAAAUUCAUUCAACCAAGGAAGUCUAAAAGCUUCAUGAAGCUUCAUCCUUGGCUGGCUCCCCGUCAUGGUUCCACAUCAUUUGCAUCUCUACUUCUUCAUGCUGCGUCGUCCUGAUGGAGGUGGAGAGUCUGUCCUGCAUCCAAGCAUGAAUCCCAAGAUCCACUUGACCAGACAGUGAUGCCUGUGGCCAGGGCAAUGGGUACACCCAGAGGCCUAUGUCCACUGAGCCACCAACCCAGUUGAUCUGUGAUGGCUGAGUUGUGUCCCCGUAAAUUCACAUGCUGAACUCAUAACCCCAAGUGCCUCAGAAUGUGACUGUAUUUGGAGAUGGGGCCUUUAAAGGGAUAAUUAAGGUAAAGUGAGGUCAUAUGGGUGGGCCCUAACCCGAUAUAGCUGGUGUCUUUAUAAGAAGGGGC
rnacentral:lncRNA from 1 species